AUGUACCCUGUAGCUUGGGCUGUUGUGGAAAAAGAAACUACAGAGACAUGGAAGUGGUUUAUUGGGCUGCUAAUCAAGGAUUUGGAUAUCAAUGAUCAAGGAGCAGGAUGGGUUUUUAUUUCUGACCAGCAAAAGGUUAUAACUGUUUUCAUUGUUGCAAUUGUUGUAUGUUUCUAA
rnacentral:rRNA from 1 species